CAAAAGCCUGGUCCUGACUUUAACAUCAGUUCUGGCCUGACUUACACAUGCAAGUACCCGCGCACCCGUGAGAAUGCCCUAUAUCCCCUCCCGGGGAAAAGGAGCCGGCAUCAGGCACACCAACGUAGCCCAAAACGCCUUGCUCAGCCACACCCACAAGGGAAUUCAGCAGUGAUAGAUAUUAAGCAAUGAGCGAAAGCUCGACUUAGUCAAGGCCAAAAGAGCCGGUAAAACUCGUGCCAGCCACCGCGGUUAUACGAGGGGCUCAAAUUGAUAUUACACGGCGUAAAGCGUGAUUAAAAAACAAAAAAACUAAAGCCAAACACUUCCCAAGCUGUCAUACGCUACCGGAACAUAAACGAAGCCCUAUAACGAAAGUAGCUUUAACACCUUUGAACUCACGACAGUUGAGGAACAAACUGGGAUUAGAUACCCCACUAUGCUCAACCUUAAACAACGAUGACAACAUACAAAUAUCAUCCGCCAGGGGACUACGAGCGUUAGCUUAAAACCCAAAGGACUUGGCGGUGCCUCAAACCCAC
rnacentral:rRNA from 1 species